UUUGAUUUACAGUGAUUUACUGUAUUUUUUGAAUAUGCGGUAGUCUGUUGUAAAACAACAGCAGUAGUGAUACUGUAGUUAAAUAAGACAGACUUCAAUAAAAUAUUUAGUUAAUGUUAAAGAAGCAUAGAAAUUAAAUGGAAAAAUAAAAUAUCUCUAUACAAUUAAAUUAUUUCAUUUUAUAAAGAUAUUUUACAUUUACAUUUACAUUUAUUAUGCUUUUAGCUGUGAAGGUAAUAUAAAUUUUGUGAUAUGACCUCACGACUUCAAAAGAAUAGCUGGUAGAUACUUCAAAGGUGUUGAAAGAAGUAGCGGCUCGAGACAUCAAAGGAGUACCGCUUUGGUCCGUGCGCAGCAGAGUCCGGUCACACACACUCUACUCAGAGAGAGCUGGAGCAGCUUAAGAACAACAACCAGUGACUGGAACAACUGAGAGAGAUGGGAGGAAGAAGAAAGCUGGAAGAAGGCUUGACCCCAUGACCCACAGGAGCACAUGAUCCCUUUCAACAAUCUAUCCUCAUACAACAAAAAAUUCUUCUUAAGGAUCAACCCAGAUGAGGGCACCAAGUGCACUGCUACUGUGGGUACAAGCUACAAGACGGGAAGAGUCGUCCAAAGAAAGGUGACGAGUAUGUGCUCCAGAGUCACCACCUUCCUCCAACAGCUCACCGAAUUUGAGUGGAUGACAUCAAACUAGUCCAGUAUGGACCACCUCACCAGAGCAUCUCUGGAUUGGAGGCUCCAUCUUGGCCUCUCUGUCCACCUUCCAGAAGAUGUGGAUCAGCAAGCAACAGUACUAUGGGUCCGGCCUUCACAAAUCCUUCUAGCAGACUGUUCCUCCUUCCAAAGCCCAACAACUUCAGCUUUGUGGUAACAACCACACCACAUUUUGUAUACAUUUGCAAAUACAGGUUAUUUAGUUUUCUUCGGGAUUUAAAAUGUUCAAUUCGUUUUGAGAGUCAAUUCAAAUGGUAACUACAUUGUUCAGACUUGUAUUUGCCUCUGAAUGCUGCCCAGUGUUUUGGCGCAUAUUUAGACAUCGUUUUAGUAUCACUUGUAUGUCAAUUUUCUGUUCUUUUGCACUUUCAGAGUUAAAAAAUAUCUUGUUCCUGAUGUUUUUACCUGAAAAUAAAAAUGUAUUACUUUUGUACAUGGGCUAAAGUCAAUUAUUUG